rnacentral:misc_RNA from 1 species
AACGCACAUUGCGCCCCUUGGUAUUCCGAGGGGCAUGCCUGUUCGAGCGUCAUUAUAACCAAUCCAGCUCUGCUGGGUCUUGGGCCGCACCAUUUGGCGGGCCUUAAAAUCAGUGGCGGUGCCGCCCGGCUCUAAGCGUAGUAAUACUUCUCGCUAUAGGGUCCGGACAGAUACUGGCCAGCAACUCCCACUUUCCAAGAUUGACCUCGGAUCAGGUAGGGAUACCCGCUGAACUUAA